rnacentral:misc_RNA from 1 species
AAGGGAAGUAGAUUCAUUACUUUGGAAGGGUUGGCUGAAACUUCUACAGCGUAUAGGAUGGUACCCUGUGCUAGUUUUCAACAGCUAGUGCAUAAGAAUGGGAAGGAUUUUGAGGGUUUUAACAAUCAGCACAACCAUUCCAGUCUAUUUUCAAUUUCUGGCAACUUUGAAGAUAAUCAAUUGGAAGUAGCUCCAAAGAACCCAUUUCAGCUUUGAAGCCUCAUGAGGAUGCAGUCACUCAGGGCCUCAUUAAAUGGUUGCAGUUAUUGAAAAGAAUACUAUUGGGGAGGCUGAAGCCUUCAUUCUGACUCAAAUUCCAGAAUUCAAACCUUCAUGGAAACAAGAAGGUUUUAAAGGAGAGGUUAUUGUCACAAAAGUAGAUAAAGAGCCUGUGCUGGAAGAAAUGAAUAGAUGGUG